UUCUCAUAUGGCAGAAUAGUGUAAUAAAUUUAAAUCCUAUAAAUGUAAUUUAAAUUACCAUUAGAA
rnacentral:tRNA from 1 species